GCUGGCGUAGCUCAGUCGGUAGAGCGGCUGAUUUGUAAUCAGCUGGUCGGGGGUUCGAGUCCCUUCGCCAGCUCCA
rnacentral:tRNA from 3 species